rnacentral:sRNA from 1 species
GAGCCGUCGUCGUACUAAUCUGCAGUGACGCGCGGGCCGCUCGUUGGCGAUUGCUUGCCGUCCAACCACAUACAAGCGAUGGAUGGUUUGCUCGCGCCCCAGUCAUCGAUCAUCGACAUGGAUGCUCGUAGGUCAGUGUAGAUGAUCUACACACAGAGAUGCAAAGCAAGAACAUCGCCGGGCCGCUGCAGUGCAGAUAGCGAGACCGUGGGAAUCGGCGACCGGGAGUAUGUAAUACUUCGAGCAAUAUGCUUAAUAAGCUCGGUUCCUCUUGAAUUGCGACGACCCGUAGUGAGGCACCCUGCACCGCAUCUGCAAUGCUUUCAUUCAUCAUCACUUCUGUUCCUUCCAAAAAAGCAUCCCAUGGGAAAUAGAAUGAAAGAAAAAAAAACCAGAAACGGAACCAACAAGGCACCCGGGAUCUUCAGGUGGACACUCUGGUACUAACCAACGACGAAUGCUCUUCAGCUUGAUCUCCUGGAUUAGUGCGUGCGUGAUGGUUGCACUGCACUUGCCCCGUCGCCCGCGGCCGCAGACACUGGGAAGAUCCAGCUCACACUUGAUGGGCGAGAAUGAGGGCAUUGCGCUGUGGAUGAUGUACGUAACAGUGGGGGAAACAGACAGAAGAACUGAUGGUGUAGCCGAAGAAGAAGAUUAGAAACGGACAAUUUAUUUAUAAAUUUACUGCUUCUUGUUAGAUGCAGAUGCUGUGUAGUAGACUAUGGCCGUGGGCGAAUGAAUGGAAGGUUUG